UCCUCAGUAGCUCAGCGGUAGAGUAGUCGACUGUUAACUAACUGGUCGUAGGUUCGAAUCCUACUUGAGGAG
rfam:Gossypium raimondii Chr11_contig_456, whole genome shotgun sequence.